UUCCAUAUAGAGCCCUUGGAGGGCAAAGAACCCAUUUUAUUAAAAUGGUUCUAUAAUUCACGUUUGUGACUGAAGUGUAAACUAAAGAUUACACAAUAAUUACAGACCUACAGAACUCAUUUACAAACCUUACACAACUCAUUCACAAACCUUUUUGUGUCAAUAGGCUGUGGUCAAAUAAAGAGAGAGUCAACAAAUAGGCUAUUCAUAUUUAUUGUAUGAUUUAUUUCCUGUGAGCUUUUUUAUGCAAGUUUGUACAUUAGCAUGAAACUUACAGUGCAGUUUGCGUUUUUGGUGAAUAACCAGGUGUUUUCUUUAUUUUGUACAUUCUAUAUUGUCAAUGUUUAAUUUAACCUGAAGGGGCAUUAAAAACAAAUAAUCGCAAAAGUGCCCUCUGGUGGCGUAUAUAUGCGUUGCACCAUAAGCGAAGAUGAGCCUCAAGACGUGACAGGUUUUUUUUUCAAACUGGAGUUCGGACUCCGGACCGGCAUUUCUGCUUGUUGGUACCCUGAGGUAAGUAAACUUUCUACAUUUUUGAAACGAUAUUACACUCUAAAAAACGUGAGCCAGUUGGGUUAUUUUGUUUGGUUGUUUUAUCAGUGUUGGGUAGUUAUAUGUUGGGUAAUUUUGAAGCAGAGCCAGCUUAAUAGAUACAUAGCUGUUUUUCAAUAUUACUUUCUCUAGUCCACAAAAUGUAUUUUAAACAUAAGUUCAGGCGAGAAUAUAUAUGUAUAAUGUUCAAAUUUGCAGUCGGUUUGUAAAGUGAACGCCAAUUUUAAAGUUUAAUUACACAAAGUCGGAAUGUUUCCGGCGUGACCACCGGGUGUCAGUGUUGUUCUUCCCCAGAGAGAACUCGUCCCUUCCCCCACACAGAUGCGUCAGCUGAACUUCUGCUCUCACUCACUGCAACGAUACCUGAAGCGGGAGUUUACUAUUCACCUCACGAUUCAUGAAUGGUUUUUCAUCGACUUAUCUUUGAUUUAUUUGAAGGAAAAGACCCUGAUGGAUAAAAGAUGGAUAUUUUUUCCUGGAGAAGCUAAAACAAUGUAACUUUGAGGUUCUGAUACCAGCUUUUACAACGUUAUUUACAGAGUUCACCAGACUUCUCUGUGGUAUUUCCUGACCAUGCCGAAAAGCUAUUUGAAACUUGGGCAUUGCAUUUUCCAGACAGAAUCCUGCAACUUCCCAGCCAAGAACCAGGAGCAUCAACAAAUCACCUCCAGAACCCCAUGAUGAUAUUCCAACUCCUGUCUACAAAAGUGGGAAGAAAAUCUUAAGUCUAUGUUGGGACCAACAUGGUUGCAUUCUUCUGAGAGGCUGAUGUGACAAAACCAUUCCCAUUUGUCCUUGGAUUGGAAGAUGGCGAUCUCUGCCAUCAAGCCUUCGUUGUUUUUGACAGACAGUCACUCCAGCAAUACACCCUCCUUGGUGAUGUUGACAUGUUUUGAACUUUUUUUUUAUGUUUUGGACAUUAAUUUUACUAAGCAGUGCACAUCAGUGUGGGUGUUUUUGAAGACUGUUGUUUACAAACUCCCAAGAACGGAAUCCCUUUCUAUAAGAAGUCUGUGAAGUUAUUUGUCAUGCUAAGGUGAUAACUCAUGUUGAUCAUAUAUUGACUGUUUGUGCAACUUUGUGUUGAUCUUAUGUGUUACAUUAACAAUUUCUUAUUACACGGUUCUCUAAAAUGCUAGAUUCUGAUUGGCCAGUCGUGACAUUCUACUACUGCUCAAAACUAAGGGGCUGGACACACCAAAACUUUUAAACGCGGCUGAAAACGCCUUGAGGACGCCAAAUGCCAGCUGUUUUUCAGCUGAGUGCCAGCUUUCUUCAGCUGAGCGCUUUGGUAGCUGUGAUACUUCAGCUGCGAGCCGGUUGGUUGCUGUGGUUAAUGUCCCGCCCCUCCUCCACUGUGAUUGGGCGGCCGUGUGAGAACUGACAUUGACGAGCGGAGCUUUUCUCCCAAAGUUGAAUCUCUUUCAACUCUCGACGCUCAGCGCCGAGCGCGGAAAAACCGCCGAGCGCCGGUUUUCAGCGCGGAAAAAAACCGCUAGCUGCUGGCUUAUUUGAAAAACGCCGAGCUUCCAUUGGAAACAAUUGAAAACAUGCGCCGGCCGCGGGCGUAAAAGUUUUGGU